GACGAACGCUGGCGGCGUGCUUAACACAUGCAAGUCGAACGUGAUUUUUGUGGAAAUUCUUUCGGGAAUGGAAAUGAAAUGAAAGUGGCGAACGGGUGAGUAACACGUGAGCAACCUACCUUACACAGGGGGAUAGCCGUUGGAAACGACGAUUAAUACCGCAUGAGACCACAGAAUCGCAUGAUAUAGGGGUCAAAGAUUUAUCGGUGUAAGAAGGGCUCGCGUCUGAUUAGCUAGUUGGAAGGGUAAAGGCCUACCAAGGCGACGAUCAGUAGCCGGUCUGAGAGGAUGAACGGCCACAUUGGAACUGAGACACGGUCCAAACUCCUACGGGAGGCAGCAGUGGGGAAUAUUGCACAAUGGGGGGAACCCUGAUGCAGCGACGCCGCGUGAGCGAAGAAGGUUUUCGAAUCGUAAAGCUCUGUCCUAUGAGAAGAUAAUGACGGUAUCAUAGGAGGAAGCCCCGGCUAAAUACGUGCCAGCAGCCGCGGUAAUACGUAUGGGGCGAGCGUUGUCCGGAAUUAUUGGGCGUAAAGGGUACGUAGGCGGUUUUUUAAGUCAGGUGUGAAAGCGUGAGGCUUUAACCUCAUUAAGCACUUGAAACUGGAAGACUUUAGUGAAGGGAGAGGAAAGUGGAAUUCCUAGUGUAGCGGGAAAUGCGUAUAUAUUUAGGAGGAAUACCGGGGGCGAAGGGACUUUCUGGACUUUUACUGACGCCCGGGACGAAAGCUCGGGUAGCAAACAGGAUUAAAAACCUGGGUAGUCCAAGGGCGAGUCCCCAGGGGAUACAAGCUAAUCGAUACCCCCGCCCCCCAAUGGAGAACAAAAAAAAAAUUUUUUGUUCCUUGAAGAAGGGUAACAACCCCCCCCGC
rnacentral:rRNA from 1 species